GACGAACGCUGGCGGCGGGCUUAACACAUGCAAGUCGAACGAAGCCUUCGGGCUUAGUGGCGCACGGGUGAGUAACACGUAGGCAACCUACCCUCAGCUGGGGAAUAACCAGGGGAAACCCUGGCUAAUACCGCAUAACGUCGUUGCGACCGCCUGGUCGUACGAUCAAAGCUCUGGCGGCUGAGGAUGGGCCUGCGUCGGAUUAGCUAGUUGGUGGGGUAACGGCCCACCAAGGCGACGAUCCGUAGCGGGUCUGAGAGGAUGAUCCGCCACACUGGCACUGAGACACGGGCCAGACUCCUACGGGAGGCAGCAGUGAGGAAUAUUGCGCAAUGGGCGAAAGCCUGACGCAGCCACGCCGCGUGCAGGAAGACACCCCUCUGGGGCGUAAACUGCCUUUGUGUGAGAAGAAGGCCCUCUUUCUGAGGGAUUGACGGUAUCGCACGAAUAAGGACCGGCUAACUCCGUGCCAGCAGCCGCGGUAAUACGGAGGGUCCAAGCGUUG
rnacentral:rRNA from 1 species